ensembl:rRNA 5S_rRNA 5S ribosomal RNA
GUCUAUGGUCAUACCACCCUGAACUUGCCUGAUCUAAUCUGAUCUCUGAAGCUAAGCAGGAUUGGCUCUGGUUAAUACUUGCAUGGGAGACUGCUUGGGAAUACCAGGUGCUGUAGGCU